AUUGAACGCUGGCGGCAGGCCUAACACAUGCAAGUCGAGCGGUAGCACAGAGAGCUUGCUCUCGGGUGACGAGCGGCGGACGGGUGAGUAAUGUCUGGGAAACUGCCUGAUGGAGGGGGAUAACUACUGGAAACGGUAGUUAAUACCGCAUAACGUCGCAAGACCAAAGUGGGGGACCUUCGGGCCUCAUGCCAUCAGAUGUGCCCAGAUGGGAUUAGCUAGUAGGUGGGGUAACGGCUCACCUAGGCGACGAUCCCUAGCUGGUCUGAGAGGAUGACCAGCCACACUGGAACUGAGACACGGUCCAGACUCCUACGGGAGGCAGCAGUGGGGAAUAUUGCACAAUGGGCGCAAGCCUGAUGCAGCCAUGCCGCGUGUGUGAAGAAGGCCUUCGGGUUGUAAAGCACUUUCAGCGGGGAGGAAGGCGUUAAGGUUAAUAACCUUGGCGAUUGACGUUACCCGCAGAACAAGCACCGGCUAACUCCGUGCCAGCAGCCGCGGGUAUACGGAGGGUGCAAGCGUUAAUCGGAAUUACUGGGCGUAAAGCGCACGCAGGCGGUCUGUCUAGUCGGAUGUGAAAUCCCCGGGCUCAACCUGGGAACUGCAUUCGAAACUGGCAGGCUAGAGUCUUGUAGAGGGGGGUAGAAUUCCAGGUGUAGCGGUGAAAUGCGUAGAGAUCUGGAGGAAUACCGGUGGCGAAGGCGGCCCCCUGGACAAAGACUGACGCUCAGGUGCGAAAGCGUGGGGAGCAAACAGGAUUAGAUACCCUGGUAGUCCACGCCGUAAACGAUGUCGAUUUGGAGGUUGUGCCCUUGAGGCGUGGCUUCCGGAGCUAACGCGUUAAAUCGACCGCCUGGGGAGUACGGCCGCAAGGUUAAAACUCAAAUGAAUUGACGGGGGCCCGCACAAGCGGUGGAGCAUGUGGUUUAAUUCGAUGCAACGCGAAGAACCUUACCUGGUCUUGACAUCCACAGAACUUUCCAGAGAUGGAUUGGUGCCUUCGGGAACUGUGAGACAGGUGCUGCAUGGCUGUCGUCAGCUCGUGUUGUGAAAUGUUGGGUUAAGUCCCGCAACGAGCGCAACCCUUAUCCUUUGUUGCCAGCGGUUAGGCCGGGAACUCAAAGGAGACUGCCAGUGAUAAACUGGAGGAAGGUGGGGAUGACGUCAAGUCAUCAUAGCCCUUACGACCAGGGCUACACACGUGCUACAAUGGCAUAUACAAAGAGAAGCGACCUCGCGAGAGCAAGCGGACCUCAUAAAGUAUGUCGUAGUCCGGAUUGGAGUCUGCAGCUCGACUCCAUGAAGUCGGAAUCGCUAGUAAUCGUAGAUCAGAAUGCUACGGUGAAUACGUUCCCGGGCCU
rnacentral:rRNA from 1 species